AUUGAACGCUGGCGGCAUGCCUUACACAUGCAAGUCGAACGGCAGCGGGCCUUCGGGUGCCGGCGAGUGGCGAACGGGUGAGUAAUGCAUCGGAACGUGCCAUUGAGUGGGGGAUAACGUAGCGAAAGUUGCGCUAAUACCGCAUAUUCUGUGAGCAGGAAAGCAGGGGACCGCAAGGCCUUGCGCUCUUUGAGCGGCCGAUGUCAGAUUAGCUAGUUGGUGAGGUAAAGGCUUACCAAGGCGACGAUCUGUAGCGGGUCUGAGAGGAUGAUCGCCACACUGGAACUGAGACACGGUCCAGACUCCUACGGGAGGCAGCAGUGGGGAAUUUUGGACAAUGGGGGCAACCUGAU
rnacentral:rRNA from 1 species